AGCGGCAAUUUUAAUUAAAAUAAAUAUAAACUAAACAAUGUUUUUCAUCAAAAACAGUUGAAUUUCCGUUUAAUUCGUAUCCAGCCGACAAGGCCAGCUAAGCAACCAUGACACAACAAAGCGUUCGCCUUAGCGGAAGAUAACAAGUGAGGUGCUUUUAUAAAUUAAAUAAAAGAACACAGCUCCAAGGUCCCCCGCGAUGCACUUAUUUAAUAUUCGAAUGGGCAUAACUAUUUUUUUUAAAAGUUUAUCUUCAAAAAUUGUAGAACUUGUCCGAGAUAUACUUUAUACCAAUAAACUUAAUCGUAAAU
rnacentral:lncRNA from 1 species